UACGGAGGGUGCAAGCGUUAAUCGGAAUUAUUGGGCGUAAAGCGCGCGCAGGCGGUCCUUUAAGUCUGAUGUGAAAGCCCACGGCUCAACCGUGGAGGGUCAUUGGAAACUGGGGGACUUGAGUGCAGAAGAGGAAAGCGGAAUUCCACGUGUAGCGGUGAAAUGCGUAGAGAUGUGGAGGAACACCAGUGGCGAAGGCGGCUUUCUGGUCUGUAACUGACGCUGAGGCGCGAAAGCGUGGGGAGCAAACAGG
rnacentral:rRNA from 1 species